AAAGAGCGUCCCAGUUCGGAUUGUAGUCUGCAACUCGACUACAUGAAGCCGGAAUCGCUAGUAAUCGCGGAUCAGAAUGCCGCGGUGAGUACGUUCCCGGGGUCUUGUACACACCGCCCGUCACACCAUGGGAGCCGGAAAUGCCCGAAGUCAGUGACCCAACCGCGAGGAGGGAGCUGCCGAAGGCAGGUCUGGUAACUGGGGUGAAGUCGUAACAAGGUAUC
rnacentral:rRNA from 1 species